UAGAAAUCCAUGAAUUUUAGGCGGGUGGCGCAACAACUACUGACAGCACGUGCAUGUGCUAUGUAUAUAUAUUUCAGCAUACAGCAUGCUCAAGACACCCAAAUAUCAUGGAGGAAAAAAGAAAAACAACAAAACAUUGCUCGCACUUGUUUAAGAGUCUGUAUAUAGUCAUGCCGUCCAGCUGUGCCCCAUUGUCUGAAACUAGGUGUUUAGAAACAUCUCAGUCAAGACAUAAGAAAGUGACAAGAUGUGGUGAAAGCUAUAAAUCAUAAACUACAAAGCAGGCCCACAUCUUCCAACAAAAGCUGCUUUAUUCAGGCAAGGAAGUGCACUUAGGCAUAACUUUAAAUAGCAGGCAUCAGAAAAACACUCUCAAAUUCUAUAUAAUUUGACAUAAUUAAAUGUAGGUAUUUCAUCCGACUACAAUUUACUGCCUUGCCCCUUGUGCCUACAAUGUUGAUAUUCAUCAUAGAUUUGAGCCGUUUAUUUCAGUGAAAGCCAACCCACCCUUGCAGAGCACAGAUUGUAAUUAUCCUGUUCCCGAACGCCAGUCACGAUUCCCGCAGUUGCCCAUUUACUUGCAGUCGGAGCCAGCCCUGGGCAGAGAAACACCCACAGCACACCAGAUGCACAGGCGUGCAGGUAGACCCCUGAACAAGCUGAAACCCACCUAGUUCCCAAGUCUUCCUUCUGGACUCCUAUUUGCAAGACUGCUCACUUUUUCUCCUUGUUUCACUCCUUUUAUCCUCAGCCACAGCCCUAAUAUGUUCCUGGGAAGAGCUGCCAGCCACAAAAUACUGCAAACUGCCCCACAGUCAGUGUGUCUGGGACUAUUGGAGGGCGAGGUGCUGGCCACAGCCACCAAAGGCUGUGACCGAGGCAGUACCAGCUUGCUGGGAGCAUUGCUUGCACACGAGGAUGUUGGGAUCCUCACAGAGCUGCUGACAGCAAACAGCAGUCCUGCUCUUCCAGGGAACUGCAAACAAAAGGCUCUCAUUUGCAUAGGAAGGCCAGUGUCAAACACCAUAACAUCUGUGGUAUUCCUGUCCUUUUCUUAAGAGAACUGCAUUAAUGAAGAAAGGAGACUCACUGCCCAGGCAGAUGGAUGAAGAAGACAACAAGGAGCUCCAGGGAGCUGUUUCUUACCACACUCAGUCAUACUCUGUGGAGCACAUGGAGGACAGGGGAGAGGGGAUGGGGCCUCACAGAGCAUCAGAGGAACUGUGAUGUCUCUGCACCCUCAGAAAAUCUCCUGUGCCUCCAGAACAGAUGGCUACAAGCAAAAGUUUCGGUCCUGGGGAAAACAGCUUUGAACCUCUUCACUAUUUUAGGCUCCUGGUGAUUUGUAAGAUAGGUUUCCUUGGCCUGAAUUCAACAGCAAAAAUGAGGUAGGUCAUAAUCACAUCUGGGGGUGGGGGGAGUGUCCUGCAAAAGGCAACAGCAGCCACUUUGCCCUCCCUUUCCUUCCCAUGAUGCCCACAGACAUAUUUCACAAAAGACCUCAGUGGGCAAAGCCCCAAAAGGUAAGUAUGAAGUAAGUACUCAUCAUGGGACUGCUACAAGUAAAUCAGGAAGUGAGGCACAAGACAGGUUUGCAUCUUUUUGCCUCUCAAGCAGUCAAAGCAGCUGAGCCCGGCUGCAGGAGAGCUUCCAGCUCCAGACAAAACGUGGACUAAAAAGAUCUAGUCAGGCUUUAAGAUGAGACAGACAACAUCUUCUCAGUAGAGAUGGGAAGCAUUAGCACUGCUGUGCAAGGCUUUAUGUGCAUUUUUGUUUAGAAAAUUGCUUCCAGCUCUGAUCAGCUGUGAUUUCUUUUUUUUUUUUUUUUUCUAAAAAGAUAAACUGGAACAGAUGUGGUGAAAGGCUCUACGGGUGAUAAAGGGAAUGGGAACUCUAUCAUCCACACGGGGAAUGAGAGCAAGUGACUUGCUUAGCUUAACAAAAUGAAGGAAGAAGGACCUUCCUGGAAAAAUAAACGGUGUGAAAUAAUAGGGAGAAAUAAAAGA
rnacentral:lncRNA from 1 species